UUCAUGUACUUUUUUUGUUUUCUUUUUUCAAAUUUGUCCUAUAUUUUAAUGUUAGUAACAAUUAUGGCCAAUUUAGGCAACGUACACGAUUAUUUCUUCAGGAUGAUGAUAACACAAACUAUUAUUUUUCUUACAUCCUUUUCCUUUCGAAAAAUUUGAAAUUUUAUACAUUACGGCAUUCAUUAAAUUGACCACAGUUGUUACCAUUGUUAAAG
rnacentral:misc_RNA from 1 species